rnacentral:lncRNA from 1 species
UGAUUAAGCCCUCCUAAGGAUAAAUCAGUGUCUAUAUGAAUGCAACCAUGCACCUUUUAUCUCUUUGUCUUCUACAUAACCCAAUUCAUAUGAUACCCUUGGUUUUUUUGAACUUGAGGGGUAAGAGUCUACACAUAUUUGUACCCUAGAGCCGACAUAACAUGCUAGAGUAAACUCAUAUUUUUAUCCUAGAGUCUACACAUAUUUGUCAUGUCUAGAUGAGUCUCGAAUAGACAACAAUCGUCUAGAUCAAUCUUUUUUGAAAUGAUAUAAGGGCAAAAAAGGUGUAACAGCGAAAGGCAAGAAAAGGAAACACGAGUCUGCUGGGCCUGGGGCUGAUGUGUAUCUCUACUACUAUAAAAUAAGCAAACGUUAACUCCCCUAAACGCAUCCCGCUUACUGUACACAGAAGAAAACACAUCAAUUGGAGGGUCAAGAUAAGCCUACUCAAUGGGAUCUAACCGUGAAUACAUAAAAGUACCCCUCACGUUGUACGCUAAGCAAUUUAGGUGGGCGGACGAAACUCUGUCGUCCUUCAGCCAACGCCAACUAAAAGAAAAGAAAAAAAACACAGUGAAACAGCCACAUCCGCUCCAAAAUUAGUGGCAACCAAUCCUCCCGUCGCUCUUCAGAGUUGCCCUCCACCGAAACGCCCGCGCCGAGGAUGCCCGCACCGACGACGCCAGACGACGGCGGCACCGACGACGCCAGACGACGGCCGCACCGACGACGCCGAUGACGACCGCGACAUCCAUGACGACGACCUCCUCGCCAACACAGGUGCAUGCUUUCUCUUCAAUCUUUCAGACGCCGUCGCCUACACUGUCGCGACUGUCUCCGGACUAAGCAUCGGCGGCGGCAAACUCCUCGGCAGGCUGAUUUGCAAGCAUGUGAGGAUGUUAACAAUGACAUCCGUUCAUUGCUCCUGUUUCUGUUCUGCAUAGUUCUGCAUAAAUAGUGAAACCAUGGUUAAUCCACAUACUAGGAUCUAUGAUUGUCCAUGUAAUCGAUGCAAGAGAUGAACCAUAUGCCGUGAGCAUAUGUUAUGAAAACCAAUCAUAAAGUGCAUGAGCAAGUGAAAUCAUACCAUGGAUCCUCAGCAGAUCCCCAUGGUACUGAAAAUUUGAUACCACUGACCUAACCUAUGACUGAAACAAAUCUUUGUAGUUUGCCACAAUGUUCUGUCAAAUUAAUAUGUACAUAUAAAAUUCACACUGACUGUGACCUCUUGGUUCCGAACAUUAAUCUAUAUGAAUAUUAUUACAAACUACAGAGCUACAUGUUUACCGCCAAUGUCCCCUCAAAAUCAUAUGACCAUAAGAAAAUACACCCUAUACAUGAGGCCUGUUGAUCGAAAGCGACAAUUGAGAAUCAAUCUAUUACAAAGAUGUCCCCUCAAAAUCAUAUGACCAUAAGAAAAUACACCCUAUGCAUGAGGCCUCUUGAAAGCGACAAUUGCGAUUGAAUCUAUUACAAAGUACAUCAUUACAUUUCGAGGUUGUUGGUUCCAUAUUCUAAAUGAUGGUCUUGCACUCCAUUAAAUAUAAUGAUCUCACAUCUUUUUACAGGAGUUCAUAUGGGCCCUACCACUCCCAACAGGACCCCCACUCCCAGCAGGACGCGCACCCCCUUCCAGGAUAUAAGCAACAACCAAACAUCAGGUAUUGAUCAUAACCCAGUCAGGACGUGCACCCCCUUCCAGGAUAUAAGCAACAACCAAACAUCAGGUAUUGAUCACAACCCAGUCACUCAAGUUCGAUACAGUAUUACAACUACUGAACUGUGUCAUGAUUUGCAGACCCAAAGGAACUAAAAAGGUAGAGGGAUAGAGAGCGGUAUGCAAAAAAUAAGAUGAGAUUAAUAAGAGAAGGCGUGAAGCCUAUAAAAGAAAAAAAAUACCACUGAGGAAAUAGAUGGCCUACAUAACGGAACACCUGCACAGCUAGCUGUAUCACAAGGUAAUGAUGAUCAAAUUUCAUUAUCUAUGCCCCAAUUGAAUUGGCAUGUAAUUAUUUUUUCUUCAUCUGUUCAGACACUAAUGAGACUAAGAAUCGGAGGGAAAGGGAGCGUUAUGCACAGAAUAGAGAGGAAAUAUUAAAGAGACAACGCCAAACCCAUGAGCAAAAUAGAAAUAUUACUGCUGCUUUCGAUGGCAGUAACCUUGUGUCACAUAUGCCAGCUACUUGACAAGAGGCGGUCACCCAACUGCAGAACAUUACUGCUGCUUUCAAUGCCAGUAACAUCGUGUCACAUGUGCCAGCUACUGGACAAGAGGCGGUCACCCAGCUGCAAAACAUCACAGGCCCAGAUGGUGCAUUACCAAUUUUAGGACCAUACAAUGGAUUCAUACAAACUGACAAGGAGAAUAUUUCUGACAAUGAUGAAUCCGAUUGGCUGCACAGAAAUGAUGUGUACCAGAUGCAACAAAGUUCAAGAAGAAUGACACUCAUACAACUGUCAGGGGUUGACAACCCCCAACUCAAUACAGUCGUCAAUCUACGUACCCCAGGGGUAACUUUUCAUGAUCAGGGUUAGUUCAUUGAUUUAAUUAAGUUGCUAAAUUAUCAAUAGUGUUUGUUUCUCCUUUAAUUGAGCACUCCGUUCUUCAUUCGAUUGAGACUAGCAUUUGGUUCAUAUCUUCGGUUCAUCCCUACUACUUACUCACUGGGGUCAACCAAUGUUAUCAGGCAACGACCACGGCGAAGAUGCGUAUGGAAUACUGGAGCCCGAUGUCCAGACCAUAAUACUUGAUGGUAUGCAAAAUGGCAGUUUAAGAUUCCUCUACCCCGAUAAUAUGUGUCAUACGCGUAAUUUACGUGACCUUGUGCAUCAUAACUCUGUCCUAAUCAUGAUUUACUAGACUGCUUGGGAGACCGAAACCUUGGAGAAACUGGUGAUGUUGACCCUGAUGAAGAAGCUAGGAUGUUUGCUAGACCAGGUAGAUUAUUGCUAUCAUGAGUUAUGAAUACGACAUAAGAUAGUUAUAUGGUUUGUGCACAAACUUUAAAUAAUGCAAUUGUCCAUUCUUUUCCAGAUGUUGAUUUUGAAUCCUACCGAGUGGCACUGCCAUCGUGGCGAACGGUGGCGCCCCUAACGGUCCUUUUCUGCACUGUUUGGGCGAUCCAGACGGGCAUUUAAUGCCCUUGUCCCCUGCCGUCAGGGUUAGGUAGGGUGCACUGUACAAGUAACUGUACCAACCACCUCACUUUUUACAUUUGUACCCUUCUCUGCGUUGCCACCUGUCGGUGACCCCUUCAGUGUAUAAAAGGAGGCCCAUGCGCAACGUAGAGGGGGUUCGGUUCGACUGGUUCGCAAGGUUCGACCCAUUCAUAACCCAGAAAAAGACUAUGCUCUCUCUCUAUGGAGCAAGAACACAAGAUAAUCAAACAAGCAGCAGUAGGGGUGUUAUCUCUCCGGAGAGCCCCAAAGCUGGGUAAACUGCUCGUGUGCUUCGCCUCGAUCUGCUCUUCGUGCGAUCUCCGCCCCCCGCCGAACCGAAAGGGGCCCGGUCCGCCGGCCCCAUAGGUGUUGGUGAUGGAACUAUCACUAAUGAGCAUCAUGACAGAGUUUACAUGAACCUGCCCAAAAAUCACCAUGUACUUAGAAAAGUUAGCGACUGCUGCCACUGUGGAGCUUUGUGGUUCCAAUACGAGGGGCCUGCAUUUUGUUGCAGGAAGGGAAAAGUUGGUGUAUUUACUCCAGAGGUUGAUGAAGAGUUGAAACGAUUGUUCACAAGUCAGGAUGAUGAGGAUGCAAAAUAUUUCAAAGAUAAUAUACGGUAUUUCAACUCCCACUUCUCAUUCACCAGUCUUGGAGUCACCCUUGAUCGUUGAGUCAGCACUGUGGCAGGAACAGGUGUAUAUACAUUUCGUGCCUGUGGGGGAUUGUACCACACUCUUGAUGAUCUGUCGUCUGGUGAUAAUGGCCCUCGGCAUUUGCAGCUAUAUAUUUAUGAUACGGAUGAAAACUUGCUUCACAGAGUUAAGAGGUCUCCGAAUCUUAGGCUGGAUCUCAUACGGAAGAUUCUAACAAUACUAGAACAUAACCCUUAUGCAAAGGUGUUGAAGAGCCUUGGUGCUGUUCCAAAUCUGGAUGAAUAUAGGAUCUCACUAAACACAGAUAUCAACCUCGAUCAACGAAGGUACAAUGCGCCAACUACUUCUCAGGUUGCAGCAAUAUGGGUUGAAGGAAGCGACCCACAUAAAACCUUUGAUAGGAGUGUUGUUGUAUAUGGUAAAGGAGACCGUCCCCUGUAUAUUAGAGCAUACCAUGGGUGCUACGACCCUUUGUCAUAUCCACUGUUCUUCCCACGUGGGGAGAUCGGUUGGAAUCAUUGGAUGCCAUAUAUUGAGUUAGUCGAUGACACAAACCAAGUUUCAGUGGAUGAAUUUGCACAACAGAACCCAACCUAUGGUUUUCCUUCAAGUAUGAUGUUCAAAAUUGGUAUAUAUCAUAUUAUUUAAAUUAAAACUUAAGCAUUCAUCCAUCUUUCAGAUGAUAACGUGAUUAGAGAACAAGUUGGUCAUAACGCACAGCAUGAAGAGCAACCCACUGAUUUACCUGAAGGUAUAGGUCGUCAUUACUACUUCUAUUAUUCUCUAAAUUCAAACUUAUGCAGUCAUCCAUCUUUCAGAUGAUAACAUGCUUAGAGAACAAGUUGGUCAUAACACACAGCAUGAAGACCAACCCACUGAUUUACCCAAAGGUAUAGGUUGUCAUUACUACUUUUAUUGUUCUUUAAAUUAAAAUUUAUAGUCAUCCAUCUUUCAGAUGAUAACAUGAUUAGAGAACAAGUUGGUCAUAACGCACAGCAUGAAGACUCACCCACUGAUUUACUUGAUGGUAUAGGUCGUCAUUACUACUUUUAUUAUUCUUACUUAUGGUUGUACCUACCAUAACAAUUUUUAUGUUGUUAACCAAUUAUUAGGUGAUGACGAUGAUAACCUGGAUGAGGAUUUUGGUGACGAUGAGAUGAAUCCAACAAAAUCAAGGAAAUUUGUUAGCGCGAGAGAGUACUAUUGCUUCAAGUUGUGUGUCUGGAAGAAGCUUUUUAACAUCAUCUUGUUUGGGGGGCGCCUUUUCCAACAGUGGGUUGUUGACAUGUACAUCAAGAUUGAGACAAUGAGGCUUGACUGGUAUUCAAAGCCAGCAAAUCAAAAGGUUAUACACGCUGACCUGUACCAGGUAACGUGCUUCUAUUUAUCACAAAAUUUACAUGUCAGAUGCCUCACUCUUUGCUUGAACCUUUAUACUAAUUGGAGUGAAAUAUUGUUUUAUUAUAGGGUCUUGUUGACACCGUCGUUGCUGGCGAGUCACGCGGUGAUCGGAUUGGCAAGAGAAUCGUGCUUCCACGUACAUUUCCUGGUGGUGACCGUGACAUGCAGCGCAGGUUUCUGGAUGCGAUGGCAAUAUUUCAACGUUGGGGUAAACCGGAUUAUUUUCUCACGAUGACAUGCAAUCCCUACUGGGAGGAGAUAACGCAGGAAUUGUUGCCUGGACAGCUGCCACAAGACCGCCCAGACCUUGUGGCAAGAGUAUACAGAGCUAAGCAACGAAAUAUGAUGGACUUACUAACUAAGGGUAAGCAUUUCAGAGAAGUCGCAGCUUAUGUACAUGUCACAGAGUUUCAGAAGCGAGGUCUCCCGCAUGAGCAUAUACUUCUAAUCAUGAAAGCAAAAAGCAAGUUAAGGACCCCAGAUGACUAUGAUAGGGUGAUAUCUGCAGAGAUACCCGACAAAAAGAAAUAUCUUGUCCUCCAUGAUCUGGUAGUCAAACACAUGUUGCACGGCCCAUGUGGUGCACUCCAGAAAAUUGCCCUUGCAUGAUAGAUGGACAAUGUCGAUUUCAUUACCCGCGAGAUUUCUGUAAUGCUACAUUACAAGGGAAAGACUCAUAUCCCAUCUAUAGAAGGAGGGACGGCGGGGUUCGAGUAAGGAUCAGGGAGCAGAUUUGGACAAUAGAUGGGUGGUCCCUUACAACCCCUUUCUGCUUAUGAAAUACAACUGUCAUAUAAAUGUCGAAGCAUGCUCAAGCAUCAAGGCAGUCAAGUACUUAUUCAAGUACAUCUACAAAGGGCAUGAUAAGGCAUCAUUUGCAUUCGAGCAGGAUAUUAUCAAUGAUGGGGGAAUCAUUAAUGAAAUUCGUCAAUACAGGGAUGCACGCUAUAUAUCUCCUCCAGAAGCUAUUUACAGGAUUUUUGGGUUUAAAAUGUUUGGUGUUAGUCCAUCUGUGUUACAGCUGCAGCUUCAUUUGCCAAACAUGCACACAGUCGCAUUUAAGGGUUAUGAAAAUCUGGAAGAUGUUGUCGCUCGCCCAACUUCUUCCAAAUCCAUGCUUACCGAGUACUUUGAGAUGAACAAGAAGUAUCCAGCGGCACGAAAAUGGUUGUACAGAGAGUUCCCAGAACAUUAUAGGUGGAUUGCCGCUAAUAAAAAGUGGCAAACGAGAAGAAGUAAGAGAUCACAGAUUGGAAGACUGGUGUAUGCACACCCUGCUGAAGGAGAGAGGUACUACUUGCGGGUGCUCCUAAGUCAUGUCCGAGGUGCCACUUCAUUUGAUGAUUUAAAAACAGUAAAUGGCAAGCCAUGCACUUCCUUCAGAGAGGCAUGUGAGCACUUAGGCCUCAUUGAGCAUGACAGGACACUGGAUGAUUGCAUGACGGAGGCAGCGACAUUUCAAAUGCCUUCUACUCUUAGACGGUUGUUUGCGACUAUACUGGUAUUCUGUGAGGCAACACAAAUCCGUCAAUUGUGGGACAAACAUCUACCAUCGAUGGCUGAAGAUUACCGCCGCACUAAGUCGAACGAGGCAACACUUGAGCAGAUGGUCCUUAGAGAUGUCAGGGAUCUGGUGCAAUCCAUGGGUAAGGAUAUUAAAAUGUAUGGACUUCCAGAUCUGGUUGACACAGAUGGUUCUUCUGACGCCGAGUAUAGAGAGGUAAUAGAGGAGAGACAAGUUAGAGUUGACCAAGAGCAUCUAGAUCUAUUUAGCUGUUUGAACAGUGAACAAAUGGAUGGUUUCAACGACAUGAUGGAUCAUGUGACGAACCAAAAAAGCCAGAUAUUUUUUGUUGAUGGUCCAGGAGGCACUGGGAAGACGUACCUGUACAAGGCAUUGCUUGCAAAGGUCCGUUCGAUGGGCCUAAUAGCGAUCGCAACUGCUACAUCAGGUAUAGCGGCGUCAAUAAUGCCUGGAGGCCGGACUGCGCACUCCAGGUUCAAAAUUCCAAUCAAGCUCACUAACAACAACAUGUGUGGUUUCACAAAGCAGAGUGGUACGGCAGAGUUGCUUAAACAGGCGUCCUUGAUAAUUUGGGAUGAAGUUGCUAUGACAAAGCGUCAAGCAGUUGAGACGCUUGACAGAUCGCUACAAGAUAUAAUGGAAUGUCCUCUGCCGUUUGGUGGAAAGGUUGUUGUCUUUGGUGGGGAUUUCAGGCAGGUCCUCCCCGUUGUUACACGAGGGACAAGAGCACAGAUCACGGAUGCUACACUGUUGAGAUCCUAUCUGUGGGAUAAGAUCCGCAAGAUACGCCUCACGCGCAAUAUGCGGGCACAGGCGGACCCUUGGUUCUCCGAAUACCUCCUAAGGAUUGGCAAUGGAACGGAAGAAACUAUUGGUGACGACUAUGUGCGUCUCCCUGAAGACAUUGUGAUUGGUUAUACUGAGGAUGAAGAACCUAUUAACAAGCUCAUCGAAGAUGUCUUCCCAUCCCUGCACACCAAUGCUAGGUCGAGGGAGUACAUGAGCAAACGUGCAAUUCUCUCGACCAAAAACGAGCAUGUGGAUGACCUGAAUGACAAGAUGAUCUCUAGGUUUCCGGGAGAAGAAAAGGUAUAUCAUAGCUUUGACUCUAUCGAGGAUGACUUCCAGAAUAAUUACACGAUUGAUUUUCUGAACUCCAUCACACCAAAUGGCUUGCCCCCCAUGUCUUGAAAGUAAAAAUCAACUGCCCGAUCAUUUUGCUACGGAACCUCGACCCUCAUAAUGGCUUGUGUAAUGGAACACGGCUUAUGAUCAGAGCCUUCCAGGAUAAUGCAAUCGAUGCGGAGAUUGUUGGUGGCCAGCAUGCUGGAAAGAGGGUGUUCAUACCUAGGAUCCCCAUGUCGCCAUCGGAGGACACCUCACUUCCCUUCAAGCUUAAGAGAAAACAAUUCCCCAUCCGCCUGAGUUUUGCGAUGACCAUUAACAAGGCACAGGGUCAAACCAUCCCGAAUGUCAGUAUUUACCUUCCCGAACAUGUUUUCUCACAUGGCCAGCUAUAUGUUGCAUUGUCAAGGGGUGUGUCAAGAAAGACGACACGAAUUUUAGCCAAGCCUAACAAGGAGGUUGAUAAAUCUGGGAAGAGCACCAAAAACAUUGUCUACAGAGAUGUUUUAGAGGGGUGAGGCAGGUACGAUCUUUCGUGUAUUCUUUGCACCUUUGCUUUUGUAUCUAUAUAACUAAUUCUCGACCUAACACUUUUCUUUUCUUUUAUUUUCAGGUCUUGUUGGGACAGAGUGUGAAGCUUCCUUUACUUUGCGGUGGAGAUGAGUGAUACAAUAAACCAGGCGCUGGAUUAGCCAUAUUAGGGAACAGUCUAUAUUGUAUUCUGUGCUAUCUAAAUAUACUGUAGCGUUCUGUUCUGCUGAAGAUGUUCUCGAACGCCAAAGUGUCCUGCAGUCUUUGAACCCCUUUCAUUUUCUUUCAUGUAAAGUUUUUUUGAAGAUGUCUCCGGCUGUUGAGUAACUUAACUUAUGUUAGCUAUGUCAUAUAUUUGUGAUGAAAACUGCAAGAGUCUAUGAGAUUUGCAGAAUGUAGUGAAGUUGAGAGGCAUUAUUACUACUGUAUGACCAUAGGUCGUUCCCGAAUCUUUGGUACAUGAGAUCACAUGCUUUCUUUUUUUAGAAAGACAAUAGAAUAUUAGAUGGCUUUAGGUUCACUUCAGUGUUUACCUGAAAAUUGGGGACAGCAACAGGCGCGGAAUCGAUUAUGGAACCCUUAAUCUCUUGCACCGCUGAAGGAUCUUGCCGCUGUAAAUCGACAUCAGGAUAACCACACAUUACUAAACACCGAGUCGAAAAAACAGACAGUAGAAUAGGUACAAGAACGUUCCAAGCAAAGCAAUCUUUACCCACAGGAUCCCCUUGACUUGCCUUACAGACUUGACACUGUCUCACAUUCUUGGAACGACUUAAAGCACUUCCCUGGCCCCUCCUAUCAAGCACGGCCGCUGAGGGUACAUUAACUAGCUGGCAAGACAAAUGAUACAAGAAUUGUAUUUCUAUACAGAGAGGUAAACUUUAUGUAUAAAAAAAGGUAAGAGAAAGCACACAAAAGUAUCGAUGAAACGUUCCGAUGAGCUGAACCCAAUAAUUCUGUAUAAAAAUGUAUUACGAAAAUAACUCCUUUAAUUCUGUAUGUGUGGGGUAUAAAAAAACAAAAAAACAUUGGGUCUGAGAUAAACGAGGAAAGUGUGGGGCCUGAGAUAACAAUCACGAUUCCCUGGACUCCUCACGCUAUGGAAGUCCUUCCCGUGAUUUCUGCCUUACAUAUUGCCUAAAACUAACAAUCUCUCGAUCAGGAGCCCAAAGAAGCAACGGGUUUUGCACCGUAGGGUUUCCUUCAACCUCUCCUUCAUCCUCUCUCUCGAUCUGGCAUCCUCACACCCCUCCAUCGCGCUACAUCCUCACACCCCUCCAACGCGCCGGCCUCCUCCACCGCAAGUUUCUCCAGCUUGCGGUACACGUCUGUCCAUGGUGAACUAUCGUCGUCCUCCAUGUCUGCGUCACAAUCCCCGAUGGCAUCUGCAGAUCAAUCUGCCAUCAUCGUGGUAAUGACGUCUCUCUGAAAUUACAUUCUAUUCACGAUUUCACAUCUGAUUUAUCAUGAAACUGGAACAUGGAAAGACAAAGGAAGUGUUUAAAUUAUGCCCAGAAUGACACCAUGGCCAGCAUGGUCUAAGUAAUGAACACUAACCACAGGCCCCCAUAGUUGUGGGAGACUAUUGAGUCCCAGAGAUUUGCAGGACUCCAUUUAUUCAGGGCUAUCGACAGUUAAUCGUGCUUCUGCUGCUGCAACAGCAGCUCAUGAAACAUGCUUACAACGAAAAAUGAUGAGCAGGAUUAGUAUGUUUAUGUAAUUUUUCCUCAAAAUCGCCCCAGUUAUGUAGACUAGGUGAUAAACGUCAUUCACAUUCGCAAGCCACAUGAUAUAAACAUCAGUACAUCACGCACCGUGCUACAAGGCAACACAGUCACUAGAGGGGAUCCAACAAAGUGAAUCAACAUGCUCUGUUUGACCCCGCAAAAUUACCAAAAUGCUCUGCGUUACUAAGGAAAUUCUUAUUACAACAUCCACAUGAUUACUUGAGAGAAUAGUCACACAAGUGAAUCUCCAAAAGUUGACUGGAGCAUUAACAAAGAAAUAGAUCAUUAUUCUGAUAGCACUAUGUUAAGUUAACAUUCGACCCCUAUGUUUUGUACAUCACAACUAGAUGCAGAUAACGGCAUGAUAAUAAUAUAUAUGCUUGGUUUUCAGGAACACAUCGACAGGGGAGCCAAUGACGAGCAUACACAAAAUAUGCAGCUUGAAGGCAUACAAACCAAAGGCGAGGUGUGAAUACCGAGUUAACAACGGCAAAGGAAGAACAAACCAAAUUGGAUGAUACAGAAAAUAUGCAGAUUGAUGAGGUGAUACCCUAAGACAAGCAUACAAACAAUUCUUUACUCACCUUCAUAAUAUUUGCUCUUUUAUAAGUAUUGAAUCAUAUUAUAUUACUGUGAGUUUCAGAGACUAAGCGAGGAAGAAUCAAAUGGAAUAGACGACGAAGAUGAAGUAGAGAAAAAGAAUAGCACACAGACCACAGAUUGCGAAGUGACAAAGGCAGGUUGCUCUCAGGAAUUAAUCGUCAAGAGAACAAGUGAAGAAAUGCGGCCAGCUCAAGACGAUGAAUUGGCACAAACAUUCGACACCAAAGGGGCACAAACCAUAGGGGAUAAGCUGGCCUUAAACGAAACAAGUGAACAAAUGCAACCUGCUCGGGAUGAGGAAUUAGCACAAACAUUUGGCACUGAAGGGGCGGAAACUAUAGGGGACACGCUGGCAGAAUCAAAUGGAACAACCGACAAAGAAGAAGUGGAGAAAAAGCAAAGCAUGCAGUCCAGUGAUUCCGAAGACUCCGAAGUGACAGAGGCAUCUUUUUUGUUCCAAUUAUGUCCCAAGUAGUUCUAAUUCUAAUUAUAUUAAUCCUGCAUACCCAUUAUUCUUUGUAAUGUUGCUUCCAGGAAUUAAGCUUCCAUGAAACAAGUGAACAAAUGGAAACAAGUGAACAAAUGGAGCCAGGUGUGAACAAAGAAUUAGCACAAACGUCCAGCAUGGUAGGGGCACAAACUAGGAAGCCUAUCCGACUGCAUAACAAACCUAAGAAGGCACAAGACUACGUGGUGGUUCCAGAAGGCACGAACAAUCCUUCUAUGUCAUCCCUCGCUUGGCUACAUUUAUCUUUUUUGUUAUUAAUUAAUAAAUGUUUUACUUACAUCAUGAUAGAUUAUGCCUGCACCGGCAAUGAUUGGUCCGUGAUUGAAAGUAUCAUGUCCGAACCAAAUGAUAAAAGAAAUUUAGUGAGCAUCGACGACUCACAUCUCCAAAGAAAACAGUUAGAACGUCUAUUACUCCCCGAAGAAUUUCUUGGCGACGAAGUAAGUAUAUGUAGCUUUCAGACAAGACUAUGUUGUUUUAACAUGAGUUUCUAUUCUCUCCUCUAACUAAGGUGUACACCUCAUAUUGCAGAUCAUAGACGCAUACAUACAUUGCAUAAGUGCUAAAGAGCAUCUACAGAUGAGGUCAGGUAGAAGUGUGUUCUUAUAGAGUGCAUGCAUCUCUAAGAUGAUAAAGGAAUUUAGCUCUAUACGGGAUGACGCACCAAGAUGGGUAUUAAACAGAGCUACAACUUAUUUGGAACAUGAUAUGGUGAGUCUUCAUUCCAGUUAUUCAUUGUUACCUAAACUAACAAAAACCCUGUUUUCAGAUAUUCAUUCCAGUUAACAUUGAACACUUCCAUUGGUACCUAGCAGUUAUAAAUGUCGGGCAACGAUGCAUCCAAGUGCUCGACUCGCUAGGCCCAAGAAUGAGCCGCAAAGACCUCACCGCUAUGGUUAGUCAUUAGUCCCACUACACCAUCUUUUGAUAAGAUGAUUUCUGUUAUUGUUCGGUUGUGAUGCUAAUACUUUGUCAUUUAUUCAUUCAACAGCUCAAAGGACUAGAAAAUGUAUUCGAAUAUGCAUCGCUUCAAGUGGAACUAAAAACUGAUAAGUGGAAAGACUUAAACAUCUCAUCAUGGCCAAGGGAAGAGUGUAUUAAGAGAAAACUGCAAAGAGACUGGUAUACCUUCUAACUCAAAGGCUCAAAGUAAUUGACUUCCGAAGACUCUGAAUUUAGGCUUAUUUUGACAGCAAUCUGUAGGAGGAAUUAGUUUAAAUAAACAUGGAGUAGUUUAACAAUCUUGAAAGCAAGCUGCGCACACAUCUUACUGAAUUUAGGCUCAUCUUUCUUGAAAGCAAAGUUUUGAUAGUUUUUUAGCUUUGACAUACAAUUUUGACAGUUUGGGGACAGAUUUAGUCACUGAACCAAUUAUGACUAGGAAAUCAUUAAACUUUAGUCUCGAUAUCUGAAUUUCUAUCUCUGGACCAUGUGGCGGCAAGCAAGCAAAUUAAAUUGGUAAACAGUAUGGUGUCCAACUGAUUCAGCGCUAGAUGCCGACAGUGAUAGCACCAAGCGAAAUUCAGUAAUUAUGACCAGCAAAUCAUUAAACUUAGUCUGAAUAUCUCAAUUCUAUCUCUGGACCAUGUGGCUGUAGGCAAGCAAAUUAAAUUGGUAAAUAGUGCAAUGCCUAUCUCAUUGAACACUAGGGCCUGAUAGCAACUAGAUUCAGUCAAGCAUGCAAGUGAAUGUAGAGCAGCAGAAAAAUCAGGGAACCAGACCUAUGAAAUCAAAACGAGAGUGAGGUAGAGGGAGGCUUUACCUUGGGUUGUUGCUGCCCCAUGGCUGGGCGUCAUCCCGUGAGAGAAGCCUCACUCCUCCUCUCCCUACAUCAAGUUGGUGCAGGUGCGUGGUGAGUUGGAGGCUGGCUGCAUCCAUUGGCGUGUUGAGGUCUC